UGGGGAAUUUUACGCAAUGGGGGAAACCCUGACGUAGCGACACCGCGUGAGCGAAGAAGCCUUUUGGGGUGUAAAGCUCUGUCAGCUGGAACGAACACAAUGACGGUACCAGCGGAGGAAGAAUCGGCUAAAUACGUGCCAGCAGCCGCGGUAAGACGUAGGAUGCAAGCGUUGUCCGGAUUCAUUGGGCGUAAAGAGUUCGUAGGUGGGCUGUUAAGUUUGGUGUUAAAGAGCGGGGCCCAACCCCGAUAGUGCACUGAAUACUGGCAGACUUGAGUGCGGUAGAGGUAAGUGGAAUUCCAAGUGUAGCGGUGAAAUGCAUAGAUAUUUGGAAGAACACCGGUGGCGUAAGCGACUUACUGGGCCGUAACUGACACUGAGGAACGAAAGCCGGGGUAGCGAAUG
rnacentral:rRNA from 1 species